CGAGCAAACGAGCUUGCGUAGCAAACAGUGCUGCCAAACAGUUAACUGACCAACGCAAAUACAUAUGUUAUGCACUGUGAAACGUACGCCGUUUUGUAACGAUGAUAAACAAAAAUCUACCACUGCCUGAGCGUAACGAGAGAGGGAGACAGACAGAGAUAAACAGAAAGGCAGUAAAUUUUACUGAGUAAAAUUAAUGUACUCGCCGCUGACUAGCUGAGAUUUAAGAGAGCCCUUAACAUUUUCAUCAAAGAGCGGUUCAGAUGUUUGAACAGCUGAUAUGUGUUGUAAAUGUAAACGCCGUACCGUGACGUCGACGUGACGUAUCGCACACAACCAUUUACGUCAAUAGCUAAAGCUAUAUUUAUGUGUAAUAAUAAUGUGUGUUGAAUAUUAAAUUUAAUUAACAAAACGCUAUUAAUUAUCGUAUGAUGCAGUUUGAGCUCUUGUUGGUUAACGUCAUCUUGUUGAUUAAAAAUAAAUAUACAGUUUAAAUACA